rnacentral:rRNA from 1 species
GUGAAGCUGGAUUCGCUAGUAAUCGCGCAUCAGCCAUGGCGCGGUGAAUACGUUCCCGGGCCUUGUACACACCGCCCGUCAAGCCAUGGAAGCCGGGGGGUGCCUGAAGUGUGCAGCCGCAAGGAGCGCCCUAAGGUAAAACCGGUGACUGGGGCUAAGUCGUAACAAGGUAUC